UACGAAGGGGGCUAGCGUUGCUCGGAAUCGCUGGGCGUAAAGCGCACGUAGGCGGAUUGCUAAGUCAGGGGUGAAAUCCUGGAGCUCAACUCCAGAACUGCCUUUGAUACUGUCUGUCUUCGAGUUCGGGAGAGGUUGGCGGAAUUCCUAGUGUAGAGGUGAAAUUCGUAGAUAUUCGGAGGAACACCAGUGGCGAAGGCGGCUCACUGGCUCGGUACUGACGCUGAGGUGCGAAAGCGUGGGGAGCAAACAGG
rnacentral:rRNA from 1 species